ACAGGUCCUUUGAAUACCAGGGCAAAUAAUUGUCAGGCAUAUGUGUCAUUCCAAUUUUUGACCCAUUUGAGUAAAAAAGCAGUAAUAAUUCGGCAACAACUAAAACACAAUGGACACAGUUUACAGAUAAAAGAGGAAAAACACCAAUCACGCCCAGAUCACAGCUUACUGCUUUAUAUAGAUGCUUUACUUGAUCAGGGGAAAAAACCCAUGGAAAUAUUGUGCAAAGCAUGGAAAUGGGCUCGAGAUCAAGGGCAUUUUGAUGUGCACGAUAGAAGAUACUAUCUGACACCAGUUGACAUUAAGAAUAUAUGUCAACGUUACAAAAU